UACGAGGGGGGCAAGCGUUGUUCGGAAUUAUUGGGCGUAAAGGGUGCGUAGGCGGUGCGGUAAGUCUGUUGUGAAAUCUCCGGGCUCAACUCGGAGUCUGCAUCAGAAACUGCCGUGCUGGAGUGUGGGAGAGGUGAGUGGAAUUCCCGGUGUAGUGGUGAAAUGCGUAGAGAUCGGGAGGAACACCUGCGGCGAAAGCGGCUCACUGGACCAUAACUGACGCUGAUGCACGAAAGCUAGGGGAGCAAACAGG
rnacentral:rRNA from 1 species